rnacentral:rRNA from 1 species
CCUACGGGUGGCAGCAGUGAGGAAUAUUGGUCAAUGGGCGCGAGCCUGAACCAGCCAAGUAGCGUGAAGGAAGACUGCCCUACGGGUUGUAAACUUCUUUUAUAAGGGAAUAAAGUGAGGCACGUGUGCCUUUUUGUAUAUGCUUUAUGAAAAAAGAUCGGCUAACUCCGUGUCAGCAGCCGCGGUAAUACGGAGGAUCCGAGGGUUAUCCGGAUUUAUUGGGUUUAAAGGGAGCGUAGAUGGGUUGUUAAGUCAGUUGUGAAAGUUUGCGGCUCAACCUUAGAAUUGCACUUGAUACUGGCGGCCUUGAGUGCAGUUGAGGUAGGCGGAAUUCGUGGUGUAGCGGUGAAAUGCUUAGAUAUCACGAAGAACUCCGAUUGCGAAGGCAGCCUACUGGACUGCCACUGACGUUGAGGCUCGAAAGUGUGGGUAUCAAACAGGAUUAGAUACCCCAGUAGUC